UGGCUGGCUCACCCAUGUAUAUCUAUGGAUAGGUUCUUUGAUCAAUUAUUUCAUCAAAUAAUUUUUAAUAAUUGAUUUAAUCCCAGAUAACUUUUCAGUUGACUUUGGUCUUCUCUGCAAGCCCUGAUUAGGUCCAAUCAUUAACAUGAUCAUACUUCAAAAUCUAACUACCAAAUGAUCAGGACUGACUUUGACCGGCUAACCUGACCACUUGCUAGAGA
rnacentral:lncRNA from 1 species